rnacentral:rRNA from 1 species
AGCUAACGCAUUAAGCGCCCCGCCUGGGGAGUACGGCCGCAAGGCUAAAACUCAAAGAAAUUGACGGGGGCCCGCACAAGCGGCGGAGCAUGUGGAUUAAUUCGACGCAACGCGAAGAACCUUACCAAGGCUUGACAUACACCGGAAAACCCUGGAGACAGGGUCCCCCUUGUGGUCGGUGUACAGGUGGUGCAUGGCUGUCGUCAGCUCGUGUCGUGAGAUGUUGGGUUAAGUCCCGCAACGAGCGCAACCCUUGUCCCGUGUUGCCAGCAAGCCCUUCGGGGUGUUGGGGACUCACGGGAGACCGCCGGGGUCAACUCGGAGGAAGGUGGGGACGACGUCAAGUCAUCAUGCCCCUUAUGUCUUGGGCUGCACACGUGCUACAAUGGCCGGUACAAUGAGCUGCGAUACCGCGAGGUGGAGCGAAUCUCAAAAAGCCGGUCUCAGUUCGGAUUGGGGUCUGCAACUCGACCCCAUGAAGUCGGAGUCGCUAGUAAUCGCAGAUCAGCAUUGCUGCGGUGAAUACGUUCCCGGGCCUUGUACACACCGCC